ACUCAAAUGAAUUGACGGGGGCCCGCACAAGCAGCGGAGCGUGUGGUUUAAUUCGUCGCAACACGCAGAACCUUACCCAGCCUGGACAUGGACCUGCAGGCGUCGGAGACGGCGCGGCCUUCGAGGGUGGUCCACAGAUGCUGCAUGGCUGUCGUCAGCUCGUGUCGUGAGAUGUUGGGUUCAGUCCCGCAACGAGCGCAACCCCCGCGGCCAGUUACUGGUGUCUGGCCGGACGGCCCUUCGGGGAGGAAGGCGGGGAUGACGUCAAGUCCGCAUGGCUCUUACGGCUGGGGCUACACACACGCUACAAUGGCCGCCGCAAUGCGUCGCGACCCGGCAACGGGCAGCCAAUCGCCAAAGGCGGUCUCAGUGCAGAUCGGGGGCUGAAACCCGCCCCCGUGAAGGCGGAGUUGCUAGUAACCGCGUAUCAGCGAUGGCGCGGUGAAUACGUACCCGGGCCUUGUACACACCGCCCGU
rnacentral:rRNA from 1 species